UGUUUACAAACAAAUCUCGCAUACAAAUAUAUCUAUAUCAGAUUUACUUGCAACGUCAAGCGUCACCAAGUUUUCAUAUGAGUAGACGUGACCAGGAACAAAAUGUAAUACCAUUAUGAUAUAUUGAAAGUCAAAGAAAAUGAAGAAACUUCGUUUGUACUCAACAACAUCAAAGGAAAACGAAAAAGAAACGCUAGAAGAUUUUUCUGAUGACGAAUUUGAAUUUUUAAAAGAUAAGGACGAAAAUAGUGAAUAUUUUAAACAGGUCAACAUUCUUCCGGAUUUUGAAACUGAUAUGCCAAGCAGAGCAUGGAAAAGAUGAGUGAAACACAAACUUUUAAAACAGUAACCCCACUAAAUAUUCAUUCUCCAGUAAAAUCUAAUUGUUUACGAUUUGUUUGUUUGUCUGAUACACAUUCUAUGCUCGAUGUAGACAAUACGUUGAAUUUUUAUGUUCCUCCUGGAGACGUCUUACUGCACGCAGGAGAUUUCACAAAUGAAUGCUUAAUUUGGAUUCAGUAGGAUUCUUCGAAACAAGUUGAUAUAUGAUACCACUGAGAUGUACUUUACAUCGUUUUAUGUUUACAUAGUUGUUGUUUUUUAAAGGGAUUAAGAUUAUAACACAAUGUUGACUGCUGUA